UACGUAGGGUGCAAGCGUUAAUCGGAAUUACUGGGCGUAAAGCGUGCGCAGGCGGUUGUGCAAGACCGAUGUGAAAUCCCCGGGCUUAACCUGGGAAUGGCAUUGGUGACUGCACGGCUAGAGUGUGUCAGAGGGGGGUAGAAUUCCACGUGUAGCAGUGAAAUGCGUAGAGAUGUGGAGGAAUACCGAUGGCGAAGGCAGCCCCCUGGGAUAACACUGACGCUCAUGCACGAAAGCGUGGGGAGCAAACAGGAUUAGAAACCCCAGUAGUCC
rnacentral:rRNA from 1 species